UACGUAGGGGGCAAGCGUUGUCCGGAAUCAUUGGGCGUAAAGCGCGCGUAGGCGGUCCGGUAAGUCUGCUGUGAAAGUCGGGGGCUCAACCCUCGGAUGCCGGUGGAUACUGUCGGGCUUGAGUACGGAAGAGGCGAGUGGAAUUCCUGGUGUAGCGGUGAAAUGCGCAGAUAUCAGGAGGAACACCAAUUGCGAAGGCGGCUCUCUGGGACGGUACUGACGCUGAGACGCGAAAGCGUGGGGAGCGAACAGG
rnacentral:rRNA from 1 species